rnacentral:rRNA from 1 species
AGUGAACGCUGGCGGUAGGCCUAACACAUGCCAGUCGAACGGCAGCACAGUAAGAGCUUGCUCUUACGGGUGGCGAGUGGCGGACGGGUGAGGAAUACAUCGGAAUCUACUUUUUCGUGGGGGAUAACGUAGGGAAACUUACGCUAAUACCGCAUACGACCUACGGGGGAAAGCAGGGGAUCUUCGGACCUUGCGCGAUUGAAUGAGCCGAUGUCGGAUUAGCUAGUUGGCGGGUUAAAGGCCCACCAAGGCGACGAUCCGUAGCUGGUCUGAGAGGAUGGUCAGCGACACUGGAACUGAGCCACGGUCCAGACUCCUACGGGAGGCAGCAGUGGGGAAUAUUGGACAAUGGGCGCAAGCCUGAUCCAGCCAUACCGCGUGGGUGAAGACGGCCUUCGGGUUGUAAAGCCCUUUUGUUGGGAAAGAAAAGCAGCAGGUUAAUACCCCGCUGUUCUGACGGUACCCAAAGAAUAAGCACCGGCUAACUUCGUG